rnacentral:rRNA from 1 species
UACAGAGACUGCAAGCGUUAUUCGGAUUCACUGGGCGUAAAGGGUGCGCAGGCGGCCGUGUGUGUCAGGUGUGAAAGCCCGGGGCUUAACCCCGGAAUUGCGCCUGAAACUACAUGGCUAGAGCAUUGGAGAGGGUAGCGGAAUUCACGGUGUAGCAGUGAAAUGCGCAGAUAUCGUGAGGAACACCGGUGGCGAAGGCGGCAUCCUGGACCAACACUGACGCUGAGGAGCGAAAGCCAGGGGAGCAAACGGG